rnacentral:rRNA from 1 species
GUUAGGAAUCUUCCCCAAUGGGCGAAAGCCUGAGGGAGCGACGCCGCGUGAGGGAUGAAGCUUCUCGGAGUGUAAACCUCUGAAUAAGGGACGAAAAAUGACGGUACCUUAGUAACAGCACCGGCUAACUCCGUGCCAGCAGCCGCGGUAAUACGGAGGGUGCAAGCGUUACCCGGAAUCACUGGGCGUAAAGGGCGCGUAGGCGGUUAUAUAAGUCUGGCUUUAAAGACCGAAGCUCAACUUCGGAUCUGGGUUGGAUACUGUAUGGCUAGACGGCUGGAGGGGAGAGUGGAAUUCUCGGUGUAGCGGUGAAAUGCGGAGAUACCGAGAGGAACACCAGUAGCGAAGGCGGCUCUCUGGACAGUACGUGACGCUGAGGCGCGAAAGUGUGGGGAGCAAACCGGAUUAGAUACCCGAGUAGUCC